rnacentral:rRNA from 1 species
CCGAGCACGCGCGUGUGGCAUAUCAAUAAGCGGAGGAAAAGAAACUAACAAGGAUUCCCUUAGUAACGGCGAGUGAAGCGGGAAGAGCUCAAAUUUGAAAUCUUCAAGGUUCUACCUUGACGAAUUGUAGUUUAUAGAAGUGUUUUCUGUUAGUAGGGGUGGCAAAAGUUCUUUGGAAUAGGACAUCAUAGAGGGUGAGAAUCCCGUAUUUGGUCAUUCCUUCUAGCUUUGUGAUACACUUUCAAAGAGUCGGAUUGUUUGGGAAUGCAGUCCAAAAUGGGUGGUAAAUUUCAUCUAAAGCUAAAUAUUGGCGAGAGACCGAUAGCGAACAAGUACCGUGAGGGAAAGAUGAAAAGAACUUUGAAAAGAGAGUUAAACAGUACGUGAAAUUGUCAAAAGGGAAGCGUUUGACACCAGUGUUGUUUUUCCGAAAAUCAAUUACGAAUGUUUUGUUUUUGAGGAGUUAUGACUUCAUCGGCUUGCUCCUUUCUUUAUGAAACUUUCUUAAUGCACUUUUCGGUUAACAAGUCAACAUCAAUUUCUUUUGUUGUAAAAAGGUAAGAGGAAGGUGGCUUGCGCUUCGGCUCAAGUGUUUAUAGCCUUUUACCCCUGCAAUCGGAGAGAUUGAGGUCUGCAGCGUAGAUCCUUCGGGGUUAGAUACAUUUGUGCUAAGCUAUAGCCUUGUAUAGACAACUUGUUGACUAUGCUCAGUCAUGUAGCUUACUCGCUUAUGCUAUUUUACCUACGCUUAGGAUGUUGAGUAGCGACAUACGCAC